AUUUCCCACUUAUUUUCAACUUUUACUUAUGAAAAAAUUGUUUACGUUAAAGCCUGCUUUGUUUACUAAUAUGUAAACUUUAAGCUAAGCCAAACGCGUUUUAAUAAAUAAUAAUAUACAUAGAUUUUAAACAAACAGCGCUACCGUAAUACUACUAUUCACUCGCGUAGAAGCCUCUCAUUCCGCCGCCCGAUUUUGUGUUUACUUCGAAAUUCCCUCAGAUCUGUGUUUUUCCUUUUACAUUCAUCAACUGUGCCCCGCGGUUAUCCACAAAUAUAAUCAUCAAAUGCUUGUUUUUUCAUUGUGAAUUUUUCGACAGUUGAUAAUCAGUCGGAAUGGUGAUUUAUGGACCAUUAAUACUUGGUCAGGUGACUCAGGUCAGUGAAUAUUUCUUAACUAUAGCUAUUUCGAGCUUAUUGUAUUGUACCAUUAGAUCCUAAUUGUUUUAGGUGGAUUUUGUAGAAUUUGCCUGUUCUUAUUGCUAUAGUAAAGAACUGUGUAGGAGAGUGUAUUAUGUGCUUAAAUUGCGAGUUCCUUUUAAAGUUCCGUACUUAAAUAAUUUGAUGAGUUAAUUUUCUUUAUUUUAUGAAAGCAUAGCUUGAUGAAUUAAUUGUUUUUCCUUUUCCUUUGUGUGAAUUGCAGGUGUCAUUUUUCUUGGGAUAGUACCAAUAUGCAUUGACUGGAUAUGCUCAGAGUAUCUGGAGCAUAGGAAAAAUCCCUCAUGGAAACUGUGUCGAUCUUUGAUCAAAUUUGAACGUAAAACGUUGAAGUAAUUUAGACAAUGUGUGGAACAUUAUGUGUGAAGAUGUUUGAAGUGAUUUAUUAUGGUUUCUUAUAGAUACAUUUGCUGAAUGGUAUGAAUAUUUGGUACCACAGCUGCUCGAAUGGCUUAUCAAAUUAUUCACUGAUUUAUUAUUAUUAUUAAUAUUUUUGAGUUUAUGAGACAUAUAGUAGAUUUUGUUGAAUUAAUGAGUGUGUUCUCUGGUGUGAGUUCUGACUGAAGCCAAAAGGCUCAGAAAAAUGGUGAGGAACAUAAUGUUAAUGUAUAGUUCUAUGUGUUUUCAUCCGAUCCUUUGGAAUUUUGUUACAUCAGUAAUGUACUUCAAAUUCAGGAUUCCUUUUGUGUGUGUGUGUUAUUUAGGUACAUAAAGUAUGAUAUAUAUUGUGUUAUAAUGAUAAUAGUUUUCUGAAGGAUUGUAAAAUUCCCUGUCCAAAUCUUGUACAUUUCAGUGGCAGGAAUUCUGAUAUAAAUUUGGUCGAGUUGGGAAAGGAAACACUCAAAGAAGAUAACAGAGCUGUUCUAUCGGAAGGAGGUGCUCUCUAGUCUUCAUCUCCUAAAGUUAGGAAUUCAUCUGUAACAUCUCGCAUUAUCAGGUAAGUAACAAACAAGGUUAAAAUAAGUUGGAGUUGUACCUUACUUUUACGUUCUUGUAUAUGCUUAUCUUCUCUGGUUCCUUAAAUUGGACGAGUCUUUCCUACUUGAGAUAUUUGGCAUUAUAUUUGACAAACUGAUGCCUUCAAAUGUAAAACUGUAAAAGAUGCAGUUGUUUUUAUAAAAAUAUUAAUAGGAAGUUGUGAUAUGUAAAACUUGUGAGAUCAACACUUAAACAGGUGUGAUAUAUGAACGUUAUUAUAUUUUUGUUGUUAGACAACAAGGACAAUGUGAAAAAAAAAAAAAAAAAAAAAAAAUUCUUUGGGUAGUGCACAUUGGUAUGAUAUUUUAUCAAUUACGCUUGUUAGGUUUGAUUAAUAAAGUAGGACUAAUCAUUUAGCUGUCAUGUGAAACAGAAAGAAGCAAUAUUUAAUGUAACAACUGUAGCUUUGUUUCUAUUCCUUUCUUUUUGGUUUGCAUUAACCCUGUCUUUGAUAAUUAGAUAUUUACCCCCUUGAAUAUAACGAACUGGGUCUUAAUAUUGGUUCAUGUAGAGAAACGGAAAACUUGAGCUGUAAUUUUAGGUGCUUAACUGAAAUUCAUCAAAUCAAUAAUAAGACCACAUAUUGUGCAUGGUGUUUAAACAUGUGUUGCUGCUGUUUCUAAUUUAUGAAGUGCUACCCAUGUGAAUGUGAUGAUUGAUGUGGUCCUUGUUUCUGUACUUCCUUCUUAUCAUAGGCCCUGUUUGGGCCCGAUUUUUUCCUCCAAAAAAUUGAUUUUUUGACCGUUAUUUCACUAUUCCAGCCGUCAUAUUUGACUUCUUCUCUCACGGGUGGACCCCACUUUUCUUCUAACGGUCAAAAAAUCAAUUCUCAAAAUCACUCCCAAACAACCUCUAGAGUUUUGGCAAUUACUUCUUUCAAGAUACAUAAUGACAAGUCGCCAUUCUUUGGGAAGACGAUCAUGUAUUUAAAUAGGCAUUAAACUGAGGAGUGGAAAGAAUGGAUGCAGGCAAUUAAGUUUCCUAAAGGAUUCAUUUACCUUUUGAUUUAUGAUGGCUACUUCUCACUUUCUGCAUGUGGAGUUUUGUAUUAGUUUUUUGUGAUUAUUGUUGAAAAUUAGUUUCUUUUUCGCCUUUUUUCCUUUGCAGUCAGGGUGUCUGUGCAUGUUAAUGUUUUAGAUUUCUGAAGGCAUAUCAACUAUCAUACUUAUGUGAUGGAAGAAGACUUUGAGGGAUCCAGUAGACUUGUCAUGUAAUCUAAGUGUAAGAUGAGCACUGACAGCCUUAUACCUUUCUCUCUACUCAGUCCUUAUACUCAAUCCUUAGUCUUUUUUCAGUUUUCAGAUGUUAAUUUUAGAAACUAGGUAUUAUCGGCUACAAUGCAGUAAAUCUGGUUGCUUAUCUUGUGCCAUUGUAUCCGUUCUAACGUUCCAUUUUGAUUGACCUCAAAAAUAAUAUCGAUGACUUUGCUUCUCUUAUACAAACUUUUUCAUUCUUUCCUAGAACUUAUAUCACUGACUAUUUGGCGCCUAAAGAGACACUGAAACUAGAGCCGCUCAUAAAAAAAUUUGAAGGAAUAAGUUGCAAAACUAAUCCAGAUUAUCCAAACCUUGAAAUGAAAAGGAAAGGGCCCUUCAUUUAUACUUAAGAAGGGUCCAUAAGCUUGUGGAACAUUGUAUCUAAGGCACUUUCAGUUUGAGUAAAUUGUCUACUGAAAUGAGUUAUGACUCAGUUUUAAGAAAGCAGUUUUACAUUGACAUUUGAAGUGUGCUGUAAAAAUAUCCUUUAAUGAUUAAGUACAUUGAUAUCUUGAUUGGUCUGCAGUGGAUAUUAUUCAUCUUGUCUAUA
rnacentral:lncRNA from 1 species